rnacentral:rRNA from 1 species
UACGUAGGUGGCUAGCGUUGUCCGGAUUUACUGGGCGUAAAGAGCGCGCAGGCGGUCGUUCAAGUCGAGUGUGAAAGCCCCCGGCUCAACUGGGGAGGGUCACUCGAUACUGAUCGACUCGAAGGCAGGAGAGGGAAGCGGAAUUCCCGGUGUAGUGGUGAAAUGCGUAGUUAUCGGGAGGAACACCAGUGGCGAAGGCGGCUUUCUGGCCUGCUAUUGACGCUGAGGCGCGAAAGCUAGGGUAGCAAACGGG